GACGAACGCUGGCGGCGUGCUUAACACAUGCAAGUCGAACGGGCUUCUGGGGUUCUGGCUUUUUUGGUUGGGGUUCUGGGGGUUAGUGGCGAACGGGUGAGUAACACGUGAGUAACCUGCCCUUCACUUCUGGAUAACCGCUUGAAAGGGUGGCUAAUACGGGUUGUUUCUGGGUCGGUCGCAUGGCGGGUGCGGGAACGAUGGCACUGUUUGUGGUGUUGGGUGGGGGGUGGGGUCGCGGCCUAUCAGCUUGUUGGUGGGGUGAUGGCCUGCCAAGGCUUUGAGGGGUAGCCGGCCUGAGAGGGUGGGCGGUCACAGUGGGACUGAGAUACGGCCCAGACUCCGACGGGAGGCAGCAGUGGGGAAUAGUGCACGAUGGGCGGAAGCCUGAUGCAGCGACGUCGCGUGAGGGAUGGAGGCCUGCGGGUUGUGAACCUCUUUCGGCAGGGAGGAAGGCCUUGCCCGUGUGGUGGGGUUGACGGUAGCUGGGUUAAUUGAAGCGCCGGCUAACUACGUG
rnacentral:rRNA from 1 species